rnacentral:tRNA from 1 species
GGGGAUAGCUCAGUGGUGGAGAGCAUGCUUAGCAUGCACUAGGUCCUGGGUUCAAUCCCCAGGACCCCCA